AAAAAAUAUGCUACAAAAAAAAAUUAUAUAAAAAAUAAAAGUCAUUCUAUUGUUGAAAAAAUAAAAUAUAUUAAACUCGGUUUAUCCAAGAAGAUCCAGUGGCAAUACGCUCCAAAGAAGUGAAAGUCAAAGGUUCAAUCCUAUUGACUUUAAAAACAUAACUAGACCUAUUGAAAGGUCGGAUUUAUUACGGGGAGCGCAAUCCAGAUUAUUUUUGCGCUAUGUGAGAUCGUGUAACAAUCAAAUUGGCAUAAGUAGAUUGACAUUUAAAGCAACUACAGCAGAAGAUGCCCCGCGCUAUUAUUGAUUAAACAAUUCGUCAAGUUUUAUAUAGUGGAAUAAUGAUAGUUCUAGAGAUCAAACCAUUUCGAAUGACGUUAUUCCAGGUGAUACACAAAAUGCGGAUCUAACUUUCAGAACAGCUGAUGACUCUAUAGGCGACACUAUCUAAUAAUGAUAGCAGAUAAUCUGAUGGUUCUGCCAUGAUCCCUUGGAAGAAGGAGGAAUUCCUAACCCGGGAUUCUCAUGCAUCGAUCCUCUUGCCCCUUCCAAUAUAAAUAGAGAUGCUCUACUAGACGCAUAGACGAAUAAACUCGCUAAAUAUUCGCCAUCGCUUUCUGCCAACUAUACAUUCUUACCAUUACGCUACAACUCUAACAUCGUUCGGCUCUCAUAUCCUGGGAGCUGGGAAAACGGAUCUCUGUUAGGACCGAGGAUCCCAACGAGGGAUUCUACUUACGUCAAAGGUUAGCCCUAAACAUAAUAAAAUGCAACUAUCUCAGUUUUAUACUAUCAAUACCGAAACCCCCUAAUUGAACAUCCUAUGCAUAGGAUAGAUUUAGGCUAUUUUGCUCCCAAUUAUAACGUUGACGCUAAAAGGGAACUUGGAUCUCAAUCAAUAAAAGACAGCAAAA